ensembl:lncRNA
GUUUUACUGACAACAUUAGUCAAGUAUAUGUGAAGUGAAAAAUCUCUACAUGUCAUGAACUGCCCCACAUUUCUCCUACCUCUCAGCAGAAUAUGUGAUAUCAGUAUGGAAAAAAGGGUACACUGUGCUUAGACUGUAAGAAACUUUCAGUAUUUGACUAUUUAGAUGACUGAAGAAGAUCUGGAUGAUCUACAUCUAGAUGAAGGCAGUGAUACAAGCUGCCCGGAGGAGCGUGCAACCUUUUGCCAUUCAUGGAAGCAUAAAGCUUUGAACAAUCAUGUCUGAACCUACAGCUGAUUGUGCUUUGAGCAUGUGCUUAGACUGGGAAUCUCCUGAGGUCCUUUCCAUCCUCAGUUAUUCUUUUAUUCUUGGGAAUAACACAUACAUGGCUGACAUAUAAAAUAGGCAUAAACAUAAUGAUGAACACACCUUUUAUGUAGAAUUAUUAAGAUAAAAGUCUUUUUUUUUUUUUUCCUACUUGUUGUUAUGGUUGUUUUUUAAGGGUUUUUUUCUUUCUUAUUUAUUACUUUUAUUUAUU